UAUCCUUCGGCAUAAUUUUUAUUUACACUACAAAAUAUCCUUAUUGGUAAUUGACUAAAUGACCUCAACAUUGAACAAAUUCUUUCUUCUCUCUCGUCUCUCUCGUCCCUCUCAAAUCUCCCUCUUUCCAUUUCAAAAAUUUCAGAAAAACAUAUUUUCCUAAUCUCUUUUCAUACCCAUUACAUCCCAUUGACGUGUUUUCAUAGAGAAAAUAGAGAAAUUCUCUCUCAAUCUUCAUAUCUCUUCUUCAUUUUCCAUCAAUAUUUACCUUCUAUCACUUUCAAUGUCCAUCAAAUAUUGGGUAGAACCUUGAGACAGAUCCAAGACUAGGGUAGACACAUCUACGGUGGUUAGGAUUCAUCAUCCAUGCAGUGUGAGCUUCAAUUCUAGCAAGCGAAUUCGGCAAAGAAAUUAGCUUAUACCGAUUGACAACAGAGUUGGCAAAGAAAUUGCAACUGAUCUUAAAACAAAUCUAGCAAGAAACAAGACCUUCUAUACGUAUUCAAAUGGAAGAAAUUUCAUAGAACGGGUAUGUCUCACAGUUUUAGUGAUUAUUUUCUAGAUAUAGUUUUUCAAUGAUGCCAAAUAUGAUGAAGUCUUAACUGGUACAAUGAUAUGUACUUUUACAGGUUCGAGACUAUAGAAAAUACUAGAAAUUAGAAGUAAA